rnacentral:rRNA from 1 species
GAUGAACGCUGGCGGCGUGCCUAAUACAUGCAAGUCGAGCGAACGGACGAGAAGCUUGCUUCUCUGAUGUUAGCGGCGGACGGGUGAGUAACACGUGGAUAACCUACCUAUAAGACUGGGAUAACUUCGGGAAACCGGAGCUAAUACCGGAUAAUAUUUUGAACCGCAUGGUUCAAAAGUGAAAGACGGUCUUGCUGUCACUUAUAGAUGGAUCCGCGCUGCAUUAGCUAGUUGGUAAGGUAACGGCUUACCAAGGCAACGAUGCAUAGCCGACCUGAGAGGGUGAUCGGCCACACUGGAACUGAGACACGGUCCAGACUCCUACGGGAGGCAGCAGUAGGGAAUCUUCCGCAAUGGGCGAAAGCCUGACGGAGCAACGCCGCGUGAGUGAUGAAGGUCUUCGGAUCGUAAAACUCUGUUAUUAGGGAAGAACAUAUGUGUAAGUAACUGUGCACAUCUUGACGGUACCUAAUCAGAAAGCCACGGCUAACUACGUGCCAGCAGCCGCGGUAAUACGUAGGUGGCAAGCGUUAUCCGGAAUUAUUGGGCGUAAAGCGCGCGUAGGCGGUUUUUUAAGUCUGAUGUGAAAGCCCACGGCUCAACCGUGGAGGGUCAUUGGAAACUGGAAAACUUGAGUGCAGAAGAGGAAAGUGGAAUUCCAUGUGUAGCGGUGAAAUGCGCAGAGAUAUGGAGGAACACCAGUGGCGAAGGCGACUUUCUGGUCUGUAACUGACGCUGAUGCGCGAAAGCGUGGGGAUCAAACAGGAUUAGAUACCCUGGUAGUCCACGCCGUAAACGAUGAGUGCUAAGUGUUAGGGGGUUUCCGCCCCUUAGUGCUGCAGCUAACGCAUUAAGCACUCCGCCUGGGGAGUACGACCGCAAGGUUGAAACUCAAAGGAAUUGACGGGGACCCGCACAAGCGGUGGAGCAUGUGGUUUAAUUCGAAGCAACGCGAAGAACCUUACCAAAUCUUGACAUCCUUUGACAACUCUAGAGAUAGAGCUUUCCCCUUCGGGGGACAAAGUGACAGGUGGUGCAUGGUUGUCGUCAGCUCGUGUCGUGAGAUGUUGGGUUAAGUCCCGCAACGAGCGCAACCCUUAAGCUUAGUUGCCAUCAUUAAGUUGGGCACUCUAAGUUGACUGCCGGUGACAAACCGGAGGAAGGUGGGGAUGACGUCAAAUCAUCAUGCCCCUUAUGAUUUGGGCUACACACGUGCUACAAUGGACAAUACAAAGGGCAGCGAAACCGCGAGGUCAAGCAAAUCCCAUAAAGUUGUUCUCAGUUCGGAUUGUAGUCUGCAACUCGACUACAUGAAGCUGGAAUCGCUAGUAAUCGUAGAUCAGCAUGCUACGGUGAAUACGUUCCCGGGUCU